rnacentral:rRNA from 1 species
UACGGGGGAUGCAAGCGUUAUCCGGAAUCAUUGGGCGUAAAGCGCCUGUAGGUGGUUUAAUAAGUCUAUUGUUAAAGCCUAGGGCUCAACCCUAGAAAAGCAAUGGAAACUACUAGACUAGAGUAUGGCAGGGGUAGAGGGAAUUUCUAGUGUAGCGGUGAAAUGCGUAGAUAUUAGAAAGAACACCGGUGGCGAAAGCGCUCUACUGGACCAUUACUGACACUCAGAGGCGAAAGCUAGGGUAGCAAAAGGGAUUAGAUACCCCUGUAGUCUUAGCCGUAAACGAUGGAUACUAGAUGUUGUACGUAGAGUACAGUAUCGUAGCUAACGCGUUAAGUAUCCCGCCUGGGGAGUACGCUCGCAAGGGUG